AGCUCCAAUAGCGUAUAUUAAAGUUGUUGCGGUUAAAAAGCUCGUAGUUGGAUUUCUGUCGAAAACAACCGGUCCGCUCUAUGAGCGUGUAUCUGGUCUGGUUUUGGCAUCCUCGUGGGGAACAGCUCUGUGCUUGAUUGCAUGGACUGGUAUUCACGACUUUUACUUUGAGGAAAUUAGAGUGUUCACGGCAGGCAAGCGCCUUGAAUACAUUAGCAUGGAAUAAUAAUAUAGGACUUUGGUUCUAUUUUGUUGGUUUCUAGAACUAAAGUAAUGAUUAAUAGGGAUAAUUGGGGGCAUUUGUAUUAACGCGUCAGAGGUGGAAUUCUUGGAUUGCGUUACGACAAACUACUGCGAAAGCAUUUGCCAAGGAUGUUUUCA
rnacentral:rRNA from 1 species